CGAGGAGAAGGGACGGAGGGAGGAAGGAAGGGGCGGGACCGCCGAGCCAAGCGCCUCAGUCGCAGUUCCCGCCUUGACUACGUUGGCCGCCCAGCGACUUCGCAGGUUGCCGAAGCCCUACAGCUAAUCGAGCGGGAGGCUCCUCGGGGAAUGGGGAGCCGCGCUGGGCCAGGCGGCCAAGGCGGCUGCUGCGGGCUGUGCGGCCUCAGGGUCGCCGUCGCCGUCUUCUUGCUGGCGCUUCUGCCCUGCCGGGUAUUUUCAGACUCGUGUAUCUGGUAUGGCCAGUGUGAAGUUGCUUCUGGAGAUAAAAGGUACAAUUGUGAAUAUAACGGCCCACCACUGCCACUACCGAAAGAUGGCUAUGAUUUGGUACAGGAACUAUGCCCAGGUUUUUUCUAUGAGAAUGUUAGCCUUUGUUGUGAUGUACAACAACUUCAGACUUUGAAAAACAACUUGGAGCUCCCGCUGCAGUUUCUUUCCAGGUGCCCAUCAUGUUUUUAUAAUUUAGUAAACCUGUUCUGCGAACUAACCUGCAGUCCUCAUCAGUCUGAAUUUCUCAAUGUAACAAAUACAACUUCAUAUAUUGAUCCAGUUACAAAAGAGAAGAAAACCAACGUUGUUGAACUGGAGUAUUACAUUGGAGAAAAAUUUGCUAAUGCUAUGUAUAAUGCAUGUAAAGAUGUGGAAGCACCAUCAAGCAAUGUUAAAGCGCUGGGACUAUUGUGUGGAAAAGAUGUUAGGGAAUGCAAUGCAACCAACUGGAUUCAGUACAUGUUCAGCAAGGAUAAUGGUCAGACUCCUUUCAACAUGAUUCCAAUAUUUUCAGAUGUUUCUAUCCAUGGGAUGACUCCUAUGAACAAUGCCACCAAAGGCUGUAAUGAGUCCAUGGAUGAUGUCACUGGGCCUUGCAGUUGUCAGGAUUGCUCUAUUGUCUGUGGUCCCAAACCACAACCCCCUCCACCUCCUGUACCUUGGCUUUUGCUUGGUUUGGAUGCCAUGUAUGUCAUCAUGUGGAUCUCCUACACAGGAUUUUUGCUUGUGUUUUUUGCAGCAGUUUUUGGAGUUUGGUGUUACAGGAAGAGACACUUUGUUUCUGAAUACACACCUAUUGACAGCAACAUUGCCUAUUCUGUUAACUUACGCCAGAAUACUGGAGAAUCUACCUGGUGUGAAAGGCUGGGUGAAAGAUUUGAGAAUGUGUUAAGAGUCACAUUCACAUCAUGGGGGGCUUUCUGUGUUCGAAACCCAAGACCUGUUGUGCUCUUUUCCCUGGCUUUUAUUGCCAUGUGCUCCUCAGGCCUGAUGUUUGUCAAAGUAACAACAAAUCCUAUAGACCUCUGGUCAUCCCCAAACAGUGAAGCUCGCAAAGAGAAGGAAUAUUUUGAUACUCACUUUGGGCCUUUCUUCCGUACUGAACAACUUAUUAUCCAAGCUCCAAAUGCCAAGCCAGAAAUCUAUUCUCCAUAUCCAUCAGGAGCAGAUAUUCCUUUCGGGCCUCCACUAACUAAAGAUAUCUUGCAUCAGGUGCUAGACUUGCAGGAUGCUAUUGAAAACAUAACUGCUUCUUAUAAAAAUGACACCGUAAUGCUGAAGGACAUCUGCCUGGCUCCUCUUGCUCCGUACAACAACAACUGUACUAUUUUAAGUGUACUCAAUUAUUUCCAGAACAGUCAUUCUGUCCUAGAUCACAGUAUUGGUGAUGAAUUCUUUGUCUACGCUGACUACCACUCUCACCUCUUGUACUGUGUCCGGGCUCCAGCCUCUUUGAAUGACACAACCUUGCUUCACGAUCCAUGUUUGGGAACAUUUGGUGGCCCUGUGUUUCCUUGGUUGGUGAUGGGAGGAUAUGAUGGUGAAAAUUACAAUAAUGCUACAGCCCUUGUGAUCACAUUUCCUGUCAAGAAUUACUACAAUGACACAGAAAAGCUAAUGAAAGCACUGGCCUGGGAAAAGGAGUUCAUCUCUUUUGUGAAAAACUAUAACAACUCAAAUUUAACAAUUUCUUUCUCUGCUGAACGUAGCAUUGAAGAUGAAAUAGACCGUGAAAGCUACGGUGAUGUCAGUACUGUUGUAAUUAGCUACGCAGUAAUGUUUGUGUAUAUCUCUAUAGCUCUGGGACACAUCAAGAGUGCUGCUAGAUUCUUGGUGGAUUCAAAAAUUUCCUUGGGCGUCGCAGGCAUUCUGAUUGUACUGAGUUCAGUUGCAUGUUCUCUGGGCAUCUUCAGCUAUUUUGGAGUUCCCUUAACAUUGAUUGUUAUUGAAGUCAUUCCAUUUUUAGUGCUGGCAGUUGGAGUGGACAACAUUUUCAUUAUUGUCCAGACAUUUCAGAGAGAUGAACGCCUUCAAGGUGAAACUCUAGAUAAGCAGAUAGGCCGAAUCCUUGGGGAUGUCGCUCCUAGUAUGUUCCUGUCAUCAUUUUCAGAGACAGUGGCCUUUUUAUUGGGAUCUUUGUCUACUAUGCCUGCUGUUCGUACUUUCUCCCUAUUUGCUGCAGUGGCCGUAUUUAUUGACUUUCUCCUUCAAAUUACUUGCUUUGUAAGCCUCUUGGGCUUGGAUAUUAAGCGUCAAGAGAAAAAUCGAUACGAUAUUCUGUGUUGUAUCAAAGGUGGUGAAGAGAUCAAUAGUGUUCAGCACUCUGAAAGUGUAUUGUUUUUAUUCUUCAAAAAUAUAUAUUCUCCAUUGCUUCUUAAGGAUUGGAUGAGACCAAUUGUGAUAUCCAUAUUUGUGGGUGUGCUGUCAUUCAGCAUAGCAGUUGCCAACAAAGUUGAGAUUGGCCUGGACCAGAGCCUGUCGAUGCCAGAUGACUCAUACAUGUUGGAUUACUUCGGCUCUCUCAGCAAAUACCUGCAUGCAGGUCCUCCAGUAUACUUUGUGCUAAAAGAAGGACAUGACUAUACUACUUUGGAUGGGCAAAAUAUGGUGUGUGGUGGAACAGGAUGUGACAACAACUCCCUAGUUCAAGAAAUAUUUGAUGCAGCAGAGAUUAACAGUUACACAAAAAUUGGUUAUGCUCCUUCUUCAUGGAUUGAUGACUACUUUGAUUGGGUCAAACCACAGUCAUCUUGUUGCAGACUCUACAACACCACUGGGCAGUUCUGCAAUGCUUCAGUUGUGGAUCCAUCUUGUGUGCGUUGCCGGCCACUGACUCCAGAAGGGAAGAAGAGACCUCAGGGUGAAGACUUCAUGAAAUUCCUGCCAAUGUUCCUCUCUGAUAACCCUAAUCCAAAAUGCGGCAAAGGAGGACACGCAGCAUAUAGCUCUGCAGUUAACUUUAUAAACAACUCUGAAGUUGGAGCUACCUACUUCAUGACUUACCAUACAGUGUUGAAAACCUCUGCAGACUUCAUUGAUGCAAUGAAGAAAGCACGUGUGAUAGCAUACAACAUUACUAAAUCCAUGAGCACUGAAGAAAAGAACUAUCAUGUAUUCCCCUACAGCGUGUUCUAUGUUUUCUACGAACAAUAUCUCACUAUUGUGAAAGACACCGUCUUUAACCUCAGUAUUUCCCUUGGAUCAAUAUUCUUAGUAACAAUGGUGCUGCUUGGUUUUGAAGUGUGGGCUGCCAUUGUUGUUACCCUUACCAUUGCUAUGAUCCUGGUCAACAUGUUUGGAGUCAUGUGGCUCUGGGGCAUCAGCCUGAAUGCAGUUUCAUUGGUUAAUCUUGUCAUGAGUUGUGGUAUCUCUGUUGAAUUCUGUAGCCACGUGACAAGAGCAUUCACUGUGAGUACAAAAGCAACCAGAGCAGAGCGCGCUGAAGAAGCACUAUCCCACAUGGGCAGCUCUGUUUUCAGUGGCAUUACUCUCACAAAAUUUGGAGGAAUAGUAGUGCUUGCCUUUUCCAAAUCCCAGAUUUUCCAGAUCUUCUACUUCAGGAUGUAUCUAGCCAUGGUACUACUUGGAGCAACCCAUGGUCUAAUAUUUCUUCCCGUCCUACUUAGUUAUAUAGGACCUUCAGUAAAUAAAGCUAAAGCACGUGCAGCACAAGAGAGAAACAAAGGUACAGAGAGAGAGAGACUCUUAUUCUUCUAGCCAUUUUAAACAAAGUGGUCAGUGGACUCAUUGAAUUCUACCUGAAGCCCUCUUCACCAUAAGUUUCAGCAAGUUUCUAUGACUACUGUCGCACAACUACAAGCCACUAUUACUGGACAGAUUAGAGAUCUACCCAAGUAGAUGACCAGUAGUUCUGAACACCUUGGACUCAGGAAGUACUGCAUAUUUCAGUUACAGUGUUACUAAAAUUGGAAGGAUCAUAAAUUAUUAUUAUUUAAUACAUUAUAGUUUUUAUUGUUUCACACAAUGAAUUUGCUUUCCUGAUGAAAAUCUAAAGUGACAUGUAUGAGAGUAGAUUGCUGACCCACUGACACUACUUUUUAAAUGCAAGGCAAUGCAAUUUGUGGCUCUAUUUUUAGGAGAGACAAAUGAGCCAUUAGUGGAAUAAUAAUAUUUUAAUAAUUUGCCAAAGGGUCUGUGUGUAUAUAUACUUUAUUAUAAAAUAGGAAUUUUUGUAGGUCAAAAGUAUCAGUACAUAAAAUGCAAUAAAUUAAGUUUAUACAUUUUGUAUAGCUUUUCUACUUCAGAAAGCAGUAGGCUUCAUUAAUGCUUGGUCUCCAAAAUGCUGUUUAAAAAACACAACAUGCUCUUCACAGUGCUCUCCUGUAAAACAAAAAAGACUGUGGAAUUAAAUACUUUCCCAGUAUGCGAUUUUAUUUGAAUGCAGUUCCUGAGGAUUUCUGGACUGGUCACACUACCUGUCAGACAGGACCACUGGUCCAGCUCAAGAACACAUAGUACAUAAAAAAAUGCACUGAAACUUAGUACUAAGACUUGAUAAACUGGAAGUAGUUUAAGUAAUAUGUAUACUGCUGUUGUGAGCUAAGUUACUACUAUGACAAAACUGGAUUCUCAGCACAAUCAAAAUAACAUGCCACUUCAGCCAGAACUAGAACAGUUUCCCUACCCUCCUUUUGUCCAAACUUCAGCACAAUUGUCCAUGAGACUUUCUUGGCAAUAUCAGUCACAAUAUGAAAUUACGUUCAGACUAGCAGAUUCCCAUAAGUAUUGCUGCAAACACUGGGACAUGCCUAAUCAAAUUGAGGGGAAGGAGGCAUUUCUAUGUUCUUUAUCACUGUUAUGCUUAAACCCUGCUACUAAGAAAUCCGCACCAUGGUAUACAUGAAAGAAGGCCUUUCAUGAUUUGAGUGUGGAGGACUUUCAAGGUAAAAAUGGCGAUAUAUGCAUGCAUCUAGGCACCUAUACUCUUCCCCGGCCAAGGGAAGUAAUAUUCAGAGUACCUCCAUUGAAAUAAACAGGUUAGCCAUGAUUAAAUCAAAUGGGGUUGAUGUUGAGUAAAAUGUAAUCAGAUACCAAACAGCUACAGCAAAAUAAGUCCUCCUUCCACUUGCACUCUUAUGGAGCGGUGGGUGUCACUUUUGUCACUCAGACUAAAAGUGAAUUCCUAAAACCCAAAACAUAUAGCAGCAGACUCCCCACAACCACUACCCAUGGUCUUUACUACAGUUGUCAUUUUCCACAUUUUACCAGAACUGUCAAAUCAGUAUUCAAAAUGUAGACACAGUGCCUUUAAUUGCAGAAAUGAUAUUUUAAGAGCAAAACAGUACAAUUUGUGAUGGCUUAUCUUUAUUUGAACUCUGUAAAUCAGUGCUUUAAACUUCUUUAAAAGCUAGUGUGUUCUAAAAAUGUAUUGUCUAGACAGUUUACGGAGGGUAGGGGCAACUUACCGCAGGUUGUGUAUUAAUACCUCAACUGUUCAGUUAAUAAACUUGUACGGAUAUUCACUAAAAUUUGGCCAAGCUCCAUUUAAAUGGCUUAGCCCAGUCCCUAAAUUCACUCUCUAUAAACCACAGGUUUUGUUUUUUUUUAAAUUCUCUUAAGCGGGCUUACUGAAAAUAGUGACCAGUAAAGCAGAUCUGGAACCAACGUUGGUGGUUGAAAGGGAAUGAGACAUUUUCUCAUGAGCCUGCCCUGUUGAUAGUUCCCUAGCAUUUGUGGCCUUUGGAGCAGGAGGACUGGACAAGCAAACGGAGGUUCAAGUGCCUGGACAGAAGGAGCUGUAGCUGAAAGCAACUUGAAACUCAAUAUUACCUUUAAGACUAAUCCAGCCUACCUAACACUAUUGGGUGAGCAGCGCUCUCCAUAUGAAGAAGGGUAAUGCAGUGUAUAAGAGGUGGUGGUAAACGACUGGACUUUCUCCAACUGUAUGGGUGCAUGUAUCUUCACACAUGAACUAGAAACCUUACACUGAAAGAUGCCAACACAAGGGCUCAAAAUUAGCACACUUACAAAGGCUCAUUUCCAAUCCUGAAUAUUUGACGAAGCAAACACUCCAGCGUUUCAGAAGGGAAAAAAUGUGUACAAUUGUAGCUUUGAUCCCAAUACAUCUGUUCACUACUAGCCCAAACUCUUCACAAUGCUAUUCAUCAUAUUUAUACUUGGUUGAUAUCUAUAAGUUGCUCUGUCACCUCAAAUCGCCUCUAAAACUUCAUAUAUAAUUACGUGCAAACUAAUGCAACAGUUCUGUAAAAGAAUGUGGAAUGUCUGUAUAAGGGGAAUGAGCAUAUUUUAAUUUUACUUAAUAAACAGCUUUAAUAUUUCAAAAAUUGGCAACUAGUGUGCAGUCUAAAAAUAGAUAACAGAUAACCGGGAUAGAGAAUCAUAAUCUUAUAUAACGAGACAUUUUAAGUUUUUACCUGAACAGCUAUCUGAAAUUGGUUGAGUGAGCGAAUAUACUCCAUUAAGACAGCUAUAGUGAACUUGUGAGGUGCUUCCUAAACAGGAAAAGAAGAAUUUACUAAAGUAGAUGCUUCAACUCCAAUAAAGAAUCUGUUUAAAUCA